CAGCCGUAAACGAUGCGCGUUAGGUGUAUCGGUGACCACGAGUCACCGAGGUGCCGAAGGGAAACCGUGAAACGUGCCGCCUGGGAAGUACGGUCGCAAGGCUGAAACUUAAAGGAAUUGGCGGGGGGAGGCACCACAACGGGUGGAGCCUGCGGUUUAAUUGGACUCAACGCCGGGAAGCUCACCGGAUAAGACAGCGGAAUGAUUGCCGGGCUGAAGACCCUGCAUGACCAGCUGAGAGGAGGUGCAUGGCGUAGUCGUGU
rnacentral:rRNA from 1 species